rnacentral:tRNA from 1 species
GGGCCUGUAGAUCAGUGGAAGAUUGUUAAGUUCGAUUUUGUACUAACCUUUAACGCUUGACUUGCAUUCAAGAGGUCACGGGUUCAAUUCCCGUCAGGUCCA